UGCGUAGGUGGCAUGGCAAGUUUGAUGUGAAAGCUCAGGGCUUAACCCUGAAAUGGCAUUGAAUACUGCUGGGCUGGAGGUUUGGAGGGGGGACUGGAAUUCUUGGUGUAGCAGUGAAAUGCGUAGAUAUCAAGAGGAACACCAGUGGCGAAGGCGAGUCCCUGGACAACACCUGACACUGAGGCACGAAAGGCCCGGGGGAGCAAACA
rnacentral:rRNA from 1 species